rnacentral:rRNA from 1 species
CCCUUAGAUGUCCUGGGCCGCACGCGCGUUACACUGAUGCAUUCAACGAGCUUAUAACCUUGGCCGAGAGGCCUGGGCAAUCUUGUUAACGUGCAUCGUGAUAGGGAUAGAUUAUUGAAAUUAUUAAUCUUGAACGAGGAAUUCCUAGUAAACGCAGAUCAUCAAUCUGCAUUGAUUACGUCCCUGCCCUUUGUACACACCGCCCGUCGCACCUACCGAUUGGAUGGUCCGGUGAAGCCUCGGGAUUGUGCUUCUUGCCGCUUUAUUGUGGCGUGACCGCGAGAACUUGUCUAAACCUUAUCAUCUAGAGGAAGGUGAAGUCGUAACA